GGAUUCCCCUAGUAGCGGCGAGCGAAGCGGGAAGAGCUCAAAUUUAUAAUCUGGCACCUUCGGUGUCCGAGUUGUAAUCUCUAGAAGUGUUUUCCGCGUUGGACCGCACACAAGUCUGUUGGAAUACAGCGGCAUAGUGGUGAAACCCCCGUAUAUGGUGCGGACGCCCAGCGCUUUGUGAUACACUUUCAAUGAGUCGAGUUGUUUGGGAAUGCAGCUCAAAUUGGGUGGUAAAUUCCAUCUAAAGCUAAAUAUUGGCGAGAGACCGAUAGCGAACAAGUACCGUGAGGGAAAGAUGAAAAGCACUUUGGAAAGAGAGUUAACAGUACGUGAAAUUGUUGGAAGGGAAACGCUUGAAGUCAGACUUGCUUGCCGGAGCUUGCUUCGGUUUGCAGGCCAGCAUCAGUUUUCCGGGGUGGAUAAUGACGGUUUGAAGGUAGCAGUCUCGGCUGUGUUAUAGCUUUCCGUUGGAUACGCCCUGGGGGACUGAGGAACGCAGCGUGCUUUUUGCGAAAGACUCGUCUUUUUCACGCUUAGGAUGCUGGUGGA
rnacentral:rRNA from 1 species